AGGAAGAACUCCAACAGCUACUGAAUGUUCCUGUGGUUCCCUCAAGGCUACAGGAGGAGCCCUACGAGGACGAGCUGGUCCACCUGAUGGUGGCCAGUCGCUGCGGUUCAAAGCCAACACCGACUACGUGGACUUCUACUGGACCACACGGAGGCCUUCAAACCGGACCAACAAGUUCAGCGACUCCCCGACUCGUGGGUCUGAGGACACUGCCGAGCCUCGGUCCAGCCGGCCUCCUGUCUGUGGGUGUUUGAGUGCUGAGAGAUGUUAAGCUAAAGGAGUUUUAUUGGUGACGUCUAACCAAUCAAAUCACUCCAGAAGACAGAGCGACC
ensembl:lncRNA